rnacentral:rRNA from 1 species
UACGUAGGGGGCAAGCGUUGUCCGGAAUCAUUGGGCGUAAAGAGCGUGUAGGCGGCCAGAUAAGUCCGCUGUGAAAACUCGAGGCUCAACUUCGAGCUGUCGGUGGAAACUAUUUGGCUAGAGUCCGGAAGAGGAGAGUGGAAUUCCUGGUGUAGCGGUGAAAUGCGCAGAUAUCAGGAGGAACACCCGUGGCGAAAGCGGCUCUCUGGGACGGUACUGACGCUGAGACGCGAAAGCGUGGGGAGCGAACAGG